GUGCUUGCUUUGGCAGCACAUAUACUAAAAUUGUAACAAUACAGAGAAGACUAGCAUGGCCCCUGUGCAAGGAUGACAUGCACAUUCAUGAAGUGUUCCAUACCUUU
ensembl:snRNA U6 U6 spliceosomal RNA